UGCAAACUGGAGAUGGCGACCGGCGCACGGGUGAGUAACACGUAUCCAACCUGCCGAUAACUCGGGGAUAGCCUUUCGAAAGAAAGAUUAAUACCCGAUAGUAUAAUUAGACCGCAUGGUCUUAUUAUUAAAGAAUUUCGGUUAUCGAUGGGGAUGCGUUCCAUUAGGCAGUUGGUGAGGUAACGGCUCACCAAACCUUCGAUGGAUAGGGGUUCUGAGAGGAAGGUCCCCCACAUUGGAACUGAGACACAGUCCAAACUCCUACGGGAGGCAGCAGUGAGGAAUAUUGGUCAAUGGGCGCAGGCCUGAACCAGCCAAGUAGCGUGAAGGAUGACUGCCCUAUGGGUUGUAAACUUCUUUUAUAUGGGAAUAAAGUUUUCCACGUGUGGAAUUUUGUAUGUACCAUAUGAAUAAGGAUCGGCUAACUCCGUGCCAGCAGCCGCGGUAAUACGGAGGAUCCGAGCGUUAUCCGGAUUUAUUGGGUUUAAAGGGAGCGUAGGUGGACAGUUAAGUCAGUUGUGAAAGUUUGCGGCUCAACCGUAAAAUUGCAGUUGAUACUGGCUGUCUUGAGUACAGUAGAGGUGGGCGGAAUUCGUGGUGUAGCGGUGAAAUGCUUAGAUAUCACGAAGAACUCCGAUUGCGAA
rnacentral:rRNA from 1 species